rnacentral:rRNA from 1 species
AACGAACGCUGGCGGCAUGCCUAACACAUGCAAGUCGAACGAGACCUUCGGGUCUAGUGGCGCACGGGUGCGUAACGCGUGGGAACCUGCCCUUAGGUUCGGAAUAACUCCCCGAAAGGGGUGCUAAUACCGGAUAAUGUCUUCGGACCAAAGAUUUAUCGCCUUUGGAUGGGCCCGCGUUGAUUAGCUAGUUGAUAGGGUAAAAGCCUACCAAGGCGACGAUCCAUAGCUGGUCUGAGAGGAUGAUCAGCCACACUGGGACUGAGACACGGCCCAGACUCCUACGGGAGGCAGCAGUGGGGAAUAUUGGACAAUGGGCGAAAGCCUGAUCCAGCAAUGCCGCGUGAGUGAUGAAGGCCUUAGGGUUGUAAAGCUCUUUUACCCGGGAUGAUAAUGACAGUACCGGGAGAAUAAGCUCCGGCUAACUCCGUG